rnacentral:rRNA from 1 species
UACGAGGGGGGCGAGCGUUGUUCGGAAUUAUUGGGCGUAAAGGGUGCGUAGGCGGUUUUGUAAGUCUUAUGUGAAAUCUAUGGGCUCAACUCAUAGACUGCAUGAGAAACUGCAGGGCUUGAGUAUGGGAGAGGUGAGUGGAAUUCCUGGUGUAGCGGUGAAAUGCGUAGAUAUCAGGAGGAACACCGAUGGCGAAGGCAGGUCUCUGGGCCACUACUGACGCUGAGAAGCGAAAGCAUGGGGAGCGAACAGG